AGGUGUGGGCACACCACCCUGAAAUUGCCUGAUCAUGUCUGAUCCAGAAAGCUAAGCUUGGUUGGCCUUGUCAGUUUUGGGAGUUGUCAACGGUUACAUCUUGCUUGGAUCCACAAUCA
rnacentral:rRNA from 1 species